rnacentral:rRNA from 1 species
AUUGAACGCUGGCGGCAUGCCUUACACAUGCAAGUCGAACGGUAACAGGUCCUCGGAUGCUGACGAGUGGCGAACGGGUGAGUAAUACAUCGGAACGUGCCCGAGAGUGGGGGAUAACGAGGCGAAAGCUUUGCUAGUACCGCAUACGAUCUCAGGAUGAAAGCAGGGGACCGCAAGGCCUUGCGCUCACGGAGCGGCCGAUGGCAGAUUAGGUAGUUGGUGGGAUAAAAGCUUAUCAAGCCGACGAUCUGUAGCUGGUCUGAGAGGACGACCAGCCACACUGGGACUGAGACACGGCCCAGACUCCUACGGGAGGCAGCAGUGGGGAAUUUUGGACAAUGGGCGCAAGCCUGAUCCAGCCAUGCCGCGUGCAGGAUGAAGGCCUUCGGGUUGUAAACUGCUUUUGUACGGAACGAAAAGACUCUGGUUAAUACCUGGGGUCCACGACGGUACCGUAAGAAUAAGCACCGGCUAACUACGUGCCAGCCGCCGCAGUAACAC